rnacentral:rRNA from 1 species
GGAGCCGUAGCGAAAGCGAGUUUUAACUGAGCGUUCAUUUACUUGACGUAGACCCGAAACCGGGCGACCUACCCAUGAGCAGGAUGAAGCGAAAGUAAAAUUUCGUGGAGGUCCGAACCCACGAGCGUUGAAAAGCUCGGGGAUGACUUGUGGGUAGCGGUGAAAUUCCAAUCGAGCCCGGAGAUAGCUGGUUCUCCCCGAAAUAGCUUUAGGGCUAGCCUCAAGGUGAGAGAUACGGAGGUAGAGCACUGAAUGUCCUAGGGGGUAUUGCACCUACCGAAGACUAUCAAACUCCGAAUGCCGUCAUCUUAUACUUGGGAGUCAGACUGUGGGUGAUAAGAUUCAUAGUCGAAAGGGCAACAGCCCAGAUCGUCAGCUAAGGUCACUAAAUGUAAGUUAAGUGGUAAAGGAUGUGGGAUUGCACAGACAACCAGGAUGUUGGCUUAGAAGCAGCCACUCAUUCAAAGAGUGCGUAAUAGCUCACUGGUCGAGUGAUCCUGCGCCGAAGAUUUCCGGGGCUAAAACUUACUAGCGAAGCUACUGCAUCA